AUCCAGCUAAUGAGUCUCAGAUAGGAUGAGACGCGCGUCCUGGAU
rnacentral:hammerhead_ribozyme from 1 species